UAGAAUUUGAUAAAACUGAAAACAUUAUUAAAAGAAAAAAAAUUUGAUUUUUAUUGAAUCUAUUCAUUUAUGAUCAUUCAAAUAGAUCAUAAAAAGUAAUUUUAAUUAUAAUGUAUUAUCACAUGAAAAAAGUUUAUAAUUUGAUAAAGAGUGAUGAAGAUUUCUCUGUAUUAACAAUUUGAGCGGUUUUUUUAUUAUAAAGAAUUUCUUAUUAUACUAUCAUUAUGUAACUUUAAAUUGGAGAACGAAAGUUGUGGGAGUGGAGAAGUGCGAUAUAGAUUAACAUUACGAGCCAGUCGAGUCCACUUUCUCGCAUUAAGAACCAAGCUUACAAACACGCACAUAGUGGCUAUUAAUUAAGUCCAAAUUUAUUUCAAAUUAAUAAUUAUAGAAAACGCAUUUAAUAAUUCAGAAUUAAAAAGCUAAUAUAGCUAGACUAUGAAAAUUAGUAGAUUUAUACUAAUUCAAUACUUGUUGCUGUCUGAUUAAACUUAAAUGAUGUUUGAAAUCUUGAUGAUUUUCAAAAUACAUGUAAAAUAAUCAAUUUAUUGAUGAAGAAACUAAUUCAUAAAAUCAUAAUGAUGAUUUCUAGUUUGCUAAAUUAUUAAUGGUAAUGUUACCUUCACUUGAAUUGACUAAUGAAUGUUGCAAAAGAAGAGUGGCUGAAGAAACUAUUUCUUUUUUACUUAGUCCAAAGUAAAAGUAAAAAUUGCUUACUGACAAGCAAAGACUUCAAACGUUGAAAAAAAAAUGAGGAAAAAGAUUUUUAUUUCCUCAAAGAAGUGUUACAAAUGGAAUGUUUGCAUAAUUCUUGGCAUAGGACUAAAUCAGGAAAAAUUCAUAUUAUGAAAAGAGGAAAUCCUUGUCUAAACAACUUGUAUAA